UUUCCGUAGGUGAACCUGCGGAAGGAUCAUUACAGAGUUCAGGCCCUCACGGGUAGAUCUCCCACCCUUGAAUAUUUAUACCUUAGUUGCUUUGGCAGGCCGUGGAAACACCAUGGGCUCCGUCUUAUGCGUGCCUGCCAGAGGAAACAAACUCUGUUUUUAGUGCUGUCUGAGUACUAUAUAAUAGUUAAAGCUUUCAACAACGGAUCUCUUGGUUCUG
rnacentral:misc_RNA from 1 species